rnacentral:lncRNA from 1 species
GAUAAUGUUAAAGAAUCUUGAGUCUUCCCAUCUGUUACUGUUUGUAGGAAGCUCCAUUAUGGAUGUGAAGAAAAGGAAUAAGAUGCUGUAUUGUGUUGCUGAGCAGAUUGAAGUUACUCAAGACUUGAAUGCUGAAACACUGGCAGAUUAUUCAUAG